rnacentral:rRNA from 1 species
CCCUUAGAUGUUCUGGACCGCACGCGCGCUACACUGAGCCCUUCAUCGAGUUUACAACCUUGGCCGGUAGGUCUGGGUAAUCUUCUCAAAGGGGCUCGUGCUGGGGAUAGAUUAUUGUAAUUUUUAAUCUUCAACGAGGAAUUCCUAAUAAACGCAAGUCAACAGCUUGCAUUGAUUACGUCCCUGCCCUUUGUACACACCGCCCGUCGCUACUACCGAUUGAAUGGCUUAGUGAGCCCGAGGGACUGUUGCACCUAGAGGGUUUUCUCUCCAGGAGCAGCCGGGAACUCGGUCAAACUUGAUCAUUUAGAGGAAGUAAAAGUCGUAACA